rnacentral:rRNA from 1 species
UACGGAGGGAGCUAGCGUUGUUCGGAAUUACUGGGCGUAAAGCGCACGUAGGCGGCGAUUCAAGUCAGAGGUGAAAGCCCGGGGCUCAACCCCGGAACUGCCUUUGAAACUAGAUUGCUAGAAUCCUGGAGAGGUGAGUGGAAUUCCGAGUGUAGAGGUGAAAUUCGUAGAUAUUCGGAAGAACACCGGUGGCGAAGGCGGCCCACUGGAUCGGUACUGACGCUGAGGUGCGAAAGCGUGGGGAGCAAACAGG